CCUGACAGGUCACCUCAUGUACACCAAAUGGGACAUCUCGCUUUCUUCUGAUUUCAACCUAGUUCAGCAUCUGAUCCCACCACUUCACAGCACUAAUGCAUUGGCACAACCCUUAAGAUAGAAAUUAACUACAGGAUUUCACUCAAAAUGUGAUCAAUGGACCUGAAAUUCAGAACAUGGUAUCAACAAAGCAGCAUCACCCAUCUCAUUAAACAAAGCCCACUUUUUGACUCGACCUCUUCAACCACAAAUAGGUGAGUACAUGGCCCCUGAUAUGAAGAGCAACCAUGGGAUUUUGCUGAAAAUGUACUCACUGAAUUUUCCACAUUCAAAUCUUUAUUUUUUUUCCUCUCUCAGGACAUUAUUUCUUAUGUGAGUAUUUAUGAGGUUUGGGCAAUAUUAAAGACAUGGGCUCUGAAAUGCAAAAAUACUCUAAAUCCAACAAAAAAUUUAUUAUACGGAAAGAAUUUAGUGAUAUUCAUAGUCCUGAAUUGGCAGGGGCCUUAAAAACCUAAAGUCCUCAAAUUUUAAAGCAAUUUCUUUGUAAAGGAUUAUAAAGCACAUUUCAGAUUUGAUGCAAGUACGUAAUGUAAAAAAAAAAAAUGGAUCUGUUUAUACAGCAAAAAUGCAACAGUGCUGGUUAUUAAGUUAAUAACAUGAA